rnacentral:rRNA from 1 species
GACGUAGGGGGCAAGCGUUGUUCGGAAUUAUUGGGCGUAAAGCGCUCGUAGGCGGGACAGGAAGUUCGUGUUGAAAGACCUCGGCUCAACUGAGGGACCGGCUCGAAUACUCUUGUUCUUGAGGCAAUCAGAGGGUGAUGGAAUUCCCGGUGUAGCGGUGAAAUGCGUAGAUAUCAGGAGGAACACCGGUGGCGAAGGCGGGUCUCUGGGCCGAUACUGACGCUGAGGAGCGAAAGCGUGGGGAGCGAACAGG